rnacentral:rRNA from 1 species
UUCGUAGGCGGUGCGGCAAGUCAGGAGUGAAAUCUCUGGGCUUAACUCAGAGGCUGCUUCUGAAACUGCCGCGCUCGAGUGCGGGAGAGGCCAGUGGAAUUGCAGGUGUAGCGGUGAAAUGCGUAGAUAUCUGCAGGAACACCCGUGGCGAAGGCGGCUGGCUGGACCGCAACUGACGCUGAGGAACGAAAGCUAGGGGAGCAAACAGGAUUAGAUACCCUGGUAGUCCUAGCCCUAAACCAUCAGAACUUGGGGUGCAUCCCGUUGGGGGUGCGUCCCGUAGCUAACGCGUUAAGUUCUGCGCCUGGGGAGUACGGUCGCAAGGCUAGAA